rnacentral:lncRNA from 1 species
GCGCGCGCACACACACACACACACACACACACACACGCACACGCACACGCACGCACAGACACACGCGUGCACACACACACGCGUGCACACACACACACACAAUGCUGCCGCGGCACCUACCAGGCGGGCAGCCUCGGCCCAGAUGAGCAGUGGUAGCCCCAGUGUGGAGAGCUUACCAGGCAGUCACCUUCCAGUGAAACUACCUCCAGGCAGCACUUCCCUCGGCCAUGCUGACCGAAUGUGGAGCCAUUUUUCCCCAAAUCCCUGGUGACAAUUUCUAUGAGAAGAGCAUUGUGUUUGAACCAUGAACAGUUU